rnacentral:rRNA from 1 species
ACGACUACAUAUCAGGCAUAUCAAUAAGCGGAGGAAAAGAAACUAACUAGGAUUCCCUCAGUAACGGCGAGUGAAAGCGGGAAGAGCUCAAAUUUGAAAUCUUAAAGGGUUCUACCUUGACGAAUUGUAGUUUAAAGAAGUGUUUUCUGUUGAAGUUUCGGUGAAAGUUCUCUGGAAUAGGACAUCAUAGAGGGUGAGAAUCCCGUAUUUGACCGUUACUUUCCAGCUGUGUGAUACACUUUCAAAGAGUCGGAUUGUUUGGGAAUGCAGUCCAAGAUGGGUGGUAAAUUUCAUCUAAAGCUAAAUAUUGGCGAGAGACCGAUAGCGAACAAGUACCGCGAGGGAAAGAUGAAAAGAACUUUGAAAAGAGAGUUAAACAGUACGUGAAAUUGUCAAAAGGGAAGCGUUUGACACCAGUGUUGUUUAGUUGAAAAUCAAUUCAAUAGUUUUUGAUUCUAAGUAGUAUUGACUUCAUCAGCUUGCUGCUUUCUUCUCAGAAAUUAUUGAAUGCACUUUUCAGUUAACAAGUCAACAUCAAUUUCUUUUGUUGUAAAAGGGUAAGAGGAAGGUGGCUUGCGCUUCGGCUCAAGUGUUUAUAGCCUUUUAUCUCUGCAAUCGGAGAGAUUGAGGUCUGCAGCGUAGAUCCUUCGGGGUUAGAUACAUUGGUGCUAAGCUAUAGCUUUUCAUAGACAACUUGUUGACUAUGUUUAGUCAUGUGGCUUACCCGCUGGCGCUAUUUUACCUACGCUUAGGAUGUUGAGCGCAUGUCUCUCUCU